rnacentral:lncRNA from 1 species
GGUAGAGGAAUAAAGGAGGAAAAGAAAAGGGAAAGCUGAGCAGUCUUUUUAGCAGGCAAAUGGUAUGUAUUGCACUCCUAACUGCUGCAACUUACAUGAAUUAUAUACCUCCCCGCCAACUUUAUAAAAGCUGGCUGAGGAUAUCCCAUGCAGCAGCACCCCACACAACCCUUUGUGUGGGUGUGUGUGCGUGUGAAUAUUCGGAUUUGAGCUUUAUUUUCCUUUAUGAAAGGGUUUGAUGAACACCAACAGUUCUUCCAACCC